UACAGAGGAGCCAAGCGUUGUCCGGAUUGACUGGGCGUAAAGCGCACGCAGGCGGAUGCGCGCGUGGGGUGUGAAAUCUGGCCGCUUAACGGCCAGGCGCCAUCCCAUACGGCGCGUCUGGAGUGAUGCAGAGGUCGGUGGAAUUGCCGGUGUAGUGGUGAAAUGCGUAGAGAUCGGCAGGAACACCGAUGGCGAAGGCAGCCCCCUGGGCUAACACUGACGCUCAGGCACGAAAGCGUGGGGAGCAAACAGG
rnacentral:rRNA from 1 species